rnacentral:rRNA from 1 species
UAGCGGCGGACGGGUGAGUAACACGUAGGCAACCUGCCCGUAAGCUCGGGAUAACAUGGAGAAACUCAUGCUAAUACCGGAUAGGGUCUUCUCUCGCAUGAGAGGAGACGGAAAGGUGGCGCAAGCUACCACUUACGGAUGGGCCUGCGGCGCAUUAGCUAGUUGGUGGGGUAACGGCCUACCAAGGCGACGAUGCGUAGCCGACCUGAGAGGGUGACCGGCCACACUGGAACUGAGACACGGCCCAGACUCCUACGGGAGGCAGCAGUAGGGAAUUUUCCACAAUGGACGAAAGUCUGAUGGAGCAACGCCGCGUGAACGAUGAAGGUCUUCGGAUUGUAAAGUUCUGUUGUCAGAGACGAACAAGUACCGUUCGAACAGGGCGGUACCUUGACGGUACCUGACGAGAAAGCCACGGCUAACUACGUGCCAGCAGCCGCGGUAAUACGUAGGUGGCAAGCGUUGUCCGGAAUUAUUGGGCGUAAAGCGCGCGCAGGCGGCUAUGUAAGUCUGGUGUUAAAGCCCGGGGCUCAACCCCGGUUCGCAUCGGAAACUGUGUAGCUUGAGUGCAGAAGAGGAACGCGGUAUUCCACGUGUAGCGGUGAAAUGCGUAGAGAUGUGGAGGAACACCAGUGGCGAAGGCGGCUUUCUGGUCUG